AAGUUGGUGGUCUAGCGGUUAUGAUUUGGCACACUCACUGCUGCAGCUGGGGUUUGAUUCCCUGUCAGGGAA